rnacentral:rRNA from 1 species
CGUAGGGUGCGAGCGUUAAUCGGAAUUACUGGGCGUAAAGCGUGCGCAGGCGGUUUUGUAAGACAGGCGUGAAAUCCCCAGGCUCAACCUGGGAACUGCGUUUGUGACUGCAAGGCUAGAGUAUGGCAGAGGGGGGUGGAAUUCCACGUGUAGCAGUGAAAUGCGUAGAGAUGUGGAGGAACACCGAUGGCGAAGGCAGCCCCCUGGGCCAAUACUGACGGCUCAUGCACGAAAGCGUGGGUAGCAAACAGGAUUAGAUACCCUGGUAGUCCACGCCCUAAACGAUGUCAACUAGGUGUUGGGUGGGUAAAACCAUUUAGUACCGGAGCUAACGCGUGAAGUUGACCGCCUGGGGAGUACGGCCGCAAGGUUA